ACGCUGAAGGAGGAGCUUGCUUCUCCGGAUGAGUUGCGAACGGGUGAGUAACGCGUAGGUAACCUGCCUGGUAGCGGGGGAUAACUAUUGGAAACGAUAGCUAAUACCGCAUAAGAGUAGAUGUUGCAUGACAUUUACUUAAAAGGUGCAAAUGCAUCACUACCAGAUGGACCUGCGUUGUAUUAGCUAGUUGGUGGGGUAACGGCUCACCAAGGCGACGAUACAUAGCCGACCUGAGAGGGUGAUCGGCCACACUGGGACUGAGACACGGCCCAGACUCCUACGGGAGGCAGCAGUAGGGAAUCUUCGGCAAUGGACGGAAGUCUGACCGAGCAACGCCGCGUGAGUGAAGAAGGUUUUCGGAUCGUAAAGCUCUGUUGUAAGAGGAGAACGAGUGUGAGAGUGGAAAGUUCACACUGUGACGGUAUCUUACCAGAAAGGGACGGCUAACUACGUGCCAGCAGCCGCGGUAAUACGUAGGUCCCGAGCGUUGUCCGGAUUUAUUGGGCGUAAAGCGAGCGCAGGCGGUUAGAUAAGUCUGAAGUUAAAGGCUGUGGCUUAACCAUAGUACGCUUUGGAAACUGUUUAACUUGAGUGCGAGAGGGGAGAGUGGAAUUCCAUGUGUAGCGGUGAAAUGCGUAGAUAUAUGGAGGAACACCGGUGGCGAAAGCGGCUCUCUGGCUUGUAACUGACGCUGAGGCUCGAAAGCGUGGGGAGCAAACAGGUUUAGAUANCCUGGUAGUCCACGCCGUAAACGAUGAGUGCUAGGUGUUAGACCCUUU
rnacentral:rRNA from 1 species